ensembl:snRNA U6 U6 spliceosomal RNA
GUGCUCGCUUCGGCAGCACAUAUACUAAAACUGGAACGAUACAGAGAAGAUUAGCAUGGCCCCUGUGCAAAAAAUGGACAAAGACCAAGUGUUU